UAGCUCAGUUGGUAGAGCACGACCUUGCCAAGGUCGGGGUCGCGAGUUCGAGUCU
rnacentral:tRNA from 34 species